rnacentral:rRNA from 1 species
UCAGUCCGUCGUGUUGCAGCUGCCGUCGGGUGCACUAGACAUCGUGCU